rnacentral:rRNA from 1 species
AUUGAACGCUGGCGGAAUGCUUUACACAUGCAAGUCGAACGGCAGCACGGACUUCGGUCUGGUGGCGAGUGGCGAACGGGUGAGUAAUGUAUCGGAACGUGCCCAGUCGUGGGGGAUAACGUAGUGAAAAUUACGCUAAUACCGCAUACGAUCUAUGGAUGAAAGCGGGGGAUCGCAAGACCUCGCGCGAUUGGAGCGGCCGAUAUCAGAUUAGGUAGUUGGUGGGGUAAAGGCCCACCAAGCCUGCGAUCUGUAGCUGGUCUGAGAGGACGACCAGCCACACUGGAACUGAGACACGGUCCAGACUCCUACGGGAGGCAGCAGUGGGGAAUUUUGGACAAUGGGCGAAAGCCUGAUCCAGCCAUUCCGCGUGCAGGAUGAAGGCCCUCGGGUUGUAAACUGCUUUUGUGCAGAACGAAAAGGUUUCUACUAAUACUAGGAGCUCAUGACGGUACUGUAAGAAUAAGCACCGGCUAACUACGUGCCAGCCGCCGCAGUAA